UGCGGUGUAGGAGCGAGCGAGGAACAGAGAGGAGAGGGGAGGUGUAGGACCGAGGAGGAACAGAGAGGAGAGGGGAGGUGUAGGACCGAGGAGGAAGAGAGAGGAGAGGUGAGGUGCGGUGCGUUGUAGGAGCGAGGAGGAACAGAGAAGAGAGGUGAGGUGCGGUGUGGAGCGGUGUAGGAGCGAGGAGGAACAGAGAAGAGGGGAGGUGUAGGAGCGAGGAGGAACAGAGAGGUGAGGUGAGGUGCGGCGUAGGACUGGAGGAACAGAGAGGAGAGGGGAGGUGCGGUGUAGGAGCGAGGAGGAACAGAGAGGAGAGGUGAGGUGCGGUGUAGGAGCGAGGAGGAACAGAGAGGAGAGGUGCAGUGUAGUAGCGAGGAGGAACAGAGAGGUGAGGUGAGGUGCGGCGUAGGAGCGAGGAGG
ensembl:lncRNA